CUACGGGGGGCAGCAGUGGGGAAUCUUAGACAAUGGGGGCAACCCUGAUCUAGCCAUGCCGCGUGAGUGAUGAAGGCCCUAGGGUUGUAAAGCUCUUUCAGCUGGGAAGAUAAUGACGGUACCAGCAGAAGAAGCCCCGGCUAACUCCGUGCCAGCAGCCGCGGUAAUACGGAGGGGGCUAGCGUUGUUCGGAAUUACUGGGCGUAAAGCGCACGUAGGCGGACCAGAAAGUUGGGGGUGAAAUCCCGGGGCUCAACCUCGGAACUGCCUUCAAAACUAUUGGUCUGGAGUUCGAGAGAGGUGAGUGGAAUUCCGGGUGUAGAGGUGAAAUUCGUAGAUAUUCGGAGGAACACCAGUGGCGAAGGCGGCUCACUGGCUCGAUACUGACGCUGAGGUGCGAAAGCGUGGGGAGCAAACAGGAUUAGAUACCCCAGUAGUC
rnacentral:rRNA from 1 species